rnacentral:rRNA from 1 species
UACGUAGGGGCGAGCGUUGUCCGGAAUUAUUGGGCGUAAAGCGCGCGCAGGCGGUUUUUAAGUUCGUGGUGAAAGACCGGGCUCAACCCCGGAGCGUCCGCGAAGACUGGAAGACUGGAGUGUCGGAGAGGAGUGGCGGAAUACCUGGUGUAGCGGUGGAAUGCGUAGAGAUCAGGUGGAACACCGAUGGCGAAGGCAGCACUCUGGCCGAAUACUGACGCUGGAGGCGACGAAAGACGUGGGGAGCGAACGGG